ensembl:rRNA 5S_rRNA 5S ribosomal RNA
GCCAUUAACUAUAACAUUUGUUCAGAACAUGUUUGGGAAAGUGAUCUAUUUUUAGCUAAGCAGGGCUGAGCCUGGCCAGUACCUGGAUGGGAGACCACUAGGGAACACUAGGUUGCUGUUGGAC